rnacentral:rRNA from 1 species
UACGUAGGGUGCGAGCGUUAAUCGGAAUUACUGGGCGUAAAGCGUGCGCAGGCGGUUCGCCAAGUCAGGUGUGAAAUCCCCGGGCUUAACCUGGGAACUGCGUUUGAAACUGGGAGACUUGAGUGUGGCAGAGGGGGGUGGAAUUCCACGUGUAGCAGUGAAAUGCGUAGAUAUGUGGAGGAACACCGAUGGCGAAGGCAGCCCCCUGGGUUAACACUGACGCUCAUGCACGAAAGCGUGGGGAGCAAACAGG